CAACCCUCGAACCUCCGUUUCCUCAGGGAAGCCCAGGGUCGGUGUUGGGGCGCUACGGCGAGUCCUCGCGACCCCCGUAGGCCCUGAAAUACAGUGGCGGUCCCGCCGCGGUUGCCUUCUGCGUAGUAAGUCUCUUUUGCAAGCUCGCAUUGGGUCCCGGCGGAGGCCUGCCGUCAAACCACCUAACAACUCCAGAUG
rnacentral:misc_RNA from 1 species